rnacentral:rRNA from 1 species
GACGAACGCUGGCGGCAUGCCUAAUACAUGCAAGUCGAGCGAACAGAUGGAGUGCUUGCACUUCUGACGUUAGCGGCGAACGGGUGAGUAACACGUAAGGAAUCUACCUAUAAGCGGGGGAUAACAUUCGGAAACGGGUGCUAAUACCGCAUAAUAUCUUCUUCCGCAUGGAAGAAGAUUGAAAGACGGCUCUGCUGUCACUUAUAGAUGACCUUGCGGUGCAUUAGUUAGUUGGUGGGGUAACGGCCUACCAAGACGAUGAUGCAUAGCCGACCUGAGGGGUUGGUCGGCCACAUGGGGACUGAGACCCGGCCCAAACUCCUACGGGAGGAAGCAGUAGGGAAUCUUCCGAAAUGGGCGAAAGCCUGACGGAGCAAUGCCGCGUGAGUGAAGAAGGCCUUCGGGUCGUAAAACUCUGUUAUAAGAGAAGAACAAAUUGUAGAGUAACUGCUACAGUCUUGACGGUAUCUUAUCAGAAAGCCACGGCUAACUACGUGCCAGCCGCCGCAGUAA